UACACUAACUACGGUUCGAGAAUUGUAAGCCCCUUGGUCGUAGCGGAACGCGAUUACGAUGCGUUUUAUCUGUCAACGCAUGACGGAGCGCAAUAUGAGAAAACAAAGAAAGUCUCAUUCUAUAGCACGAGGUAGUGAACUGAGUACGCAAAAAUAUUAAAAUUAUACAUUGGCUAAAAUAUUAGUGUACAUUUAUCACGAUUUUCCAAGUGAGUCAUUAUAUCGCAAGUUAAAUUAUUGAAUUUAAAUUGAAACAUAUCUAUAUAAUGAAUUACAGAAUAUUUAUAUUUAUAUUAAUUCAUAUUGAUUUGUGGAUAUAACCUAAAAGGGAGGAUAGUAUUAAUGUAAGUGGAUAUAAAAUAAGUAUAAUCCUUGAACUACAAUAAAUAUUAUAGCUUUUAGCACUAUUAUCACCAAGAACGCACGGUCUUUGAUUGCUUAAAAGGAUAUUUACUCCCGUUCCAACAAAAUCUAAAAGAUUAAUAGCGAGGAUGUCAUCCCGUCAGACAAGGAGCGCACGUUGUGCUACACCGGAUGAAUCCAAAUGCCCGGCAUGUGAUAACCCCAACGAUCAGCGUAUGGUUUCCUGCUGUCACUGUAAGGUGUGGUGGCACUACGAUUGCGUAGGUGUUGAUGAAGGUAUAAGCGCAGCAGAUCGGACCUUCAAUUGCCCAAGGUGUCAAAAACCAUCACCCACGAUUCCGUUCGAUGGUCGAUCCCGGACGAAGUCGCCUAAGCGAAACACCAGUAAGGGCAGCAGUGUAGCAGCUUCUUCCACCUCCAGCGUACGAGCAAGGAGGGCUCGCUUACAGCUUGAAAAACUCGAGGCCGAAAAGGCUCUAACCACAAAAAUGUUGGAGCAGGAACGUCGAGAACAAGCUUUAAGACAUGAGCAGGAGAGACUACUGAAGGAUGCCGAGAUCGAGCAGGUCAAAUUACGCCUAGAGAAGGCGAUCUUGGACGAGAAAUUCCGAAUCCAAGAGGAAGAGUUGGACGAUCAAAGCAAUGAUGGGAUAAGCCUACGGUCCCAACAAAGCAGUUUCAGUAAGGUCGAGCAGUGGAAGAUUGAACCUCAACAUACCACCGAGCCGGUAGGAAAAGCUGUAUCGCCUGAAGCAGUACAGACGACUGUCGUCGCGACCAUGACUACCGUUAGAAACAAUGUUCAGCCGGAGGUGCACUCGCGGGUGGUCAACAGGAAUCAACUGGAACUCUCGAAAAGUCUAACCGCAGCAGAUAUUCCAUUAGGAUCGAAUGCAGAUACUAAUUUUUGUGGAAUGAUCAAUACUAUAAGUAAGCCAAGUAGUGACCAGGGAUUAGAAACAGAAGGUAGCAAACAUAUUCCGGUUGAUAGCGAUACGCCGACUCCUGUUCGGAAUGAUCCACAAGUAGCUCAGUCGUCACAUCAGUUUCCCUUUUCCUCCGUUUAUCAAACUCAGUCAUUGAAUCGCGUCACUGGUAUAUCGUCAAAUGCGAUUGAGACGCUCGACGGCCCCAAGUAUAGUACGGUGCACGCGAAUGAUCCACAAGUUACACAUAGUGUACAGCAACAUCCAUUAGAUCGUAGAGGUCUACCAGGUGCAGACCUGCAGGGAGUUCCAUCGAACCAGGGCAACCAAAUACCAUCAUCGUACGGAUUUUUGACAAAUUCCGAACCAGCAGCAACUGGGCAGUAUGGGUUGCCUCAUUAUUCCACGAGCUCCGCACUGCCACCUGGGUUUGGAUUAGGACCAACACCACAGCAACUGGCAGCCAGACAAGUAAUGUCGAGAGAACUGCCACCUUUCUCGGGAAAUCCUGAAGACUGGCCGCUGUUUAUCAGCUCGUAUCGGAACUCUACCCAAGUGUGUGGGUACUCGGAAGCAGAAAAUUUAGCCCGACUGCAACGCUGUUUAAGGGGUCACGCCCUUGAAAUCGUACGGAGUCGCUUACUGUUACCAGCAGGUGUUCCACACGUAAUUGCGACGUUGGAGAUGAUGUAUGGAAGACCAGAAUUGCUCAUCCAUACCCUACUGCAGAAGGUUAGAUCAGUCCCACCGCCUAAGCAUGAUCGCCUCGAUUCGCUGAUUGCGUUCGGCGUAGCAGUGCAAAAUUUAUGCGAUCACCUGGAAGCUGGCGGUCAGCAUGCACACUACAAUAAUCCGAUGCUGCUUUCCGAAUUAGUUGAAAAACUUCCCGCGAAUCUCAAACUCGACUGGUCGUUGUAUAAGCAACGUUGUGGAGAGGUGAAUAUUCGUAUAUUCAGUCAAUAUAUGUCCAUGCUAGUUCGGGCGGCGACGGACGUUACUCUUUUCGAUCCAAGACAGCAUGUAGUCCAACAGCAUCGAGCAGUAAAACCCGAAAAGCUAUUAAAAGAUAAGUCCUUCUGCGGAUCCCACACGGUGGAAGAAUCGUCGAAGCAAGGGAAGGGCCCACAUACUCCUGUGAAUCAAAAUCGUUCAUCCCAACCAGCGUGUCUUCUGUGUCAGGACCCCAACCAUAGGGUGAAGGAAUGUCACCUUUUUGGCAGGAAAAGCGUGGAAGAAAGAUGGAAGACGAUCCAACAGUACGGCCUCUGCCGGCAGUGUUUAGGCGCUCACGGGAGAAGACCCUGCAAAUCACAGCGGCGAUGUGAAGUAGGUGGCUGUCAGUUCAGGCAUCACCCGUUGCUUCAUUCUAUCCCACCUAAGAGCAACCCCAAAGAAUCCGAGGCAGUUGUAAGCUACCACAAAACUGAGAAGCGGGCUUUAUUUCGUAUCAUUCCCGUUACGCUGUAUGGUAACAACCGUUCAGUUUCUGUGUUCGCAUUCUUGGAUGACGGUUCUUCGACAACGCUGAUAGACGAAGGAGUCGUGAAGGAGCUUGGGGUAACGGGAGAACAACUCCCGUUGUGCCUUCAAUGGACGGCGAAUGUAAAAAGAUCGGAGGCUGAAUCACAACGAGUCCGACUUGAGAUAUCCGGUGGUAACGAUUUAGUAAAAUAUCCAUUAGCCGAUGUCCGUACGGUGAGCAGCUUGGAUCUGCCUCAGCAGACUUUGCGAUAUGCGGAGCUUUCCAAAAUCUUUCCGCAUCUGAAGGGUCUGCCUGUAAAGGACUAUACUAAUGCACACCCUCGUAUCCUUAUUGGAAACAAUCAUGCACAUGUCACGGCCACUCUCAAAAUACGCGAGGGCAGAGCAGGUGAUCCCAUCGCAGCGAAGUCUAGGUUGGGGUGGACCAUAUUUGGUUCUAGUUUAAACGCUGAAAACGCUCACAGUUUCCUGAUUUGUGAAUGCAAUCGUGAUCAGGGCCUACACGAGAUGGUAGAAAAAUAUUUCUCGGUCGACAAUGUGGGAGUUGCAGCUGCAUCGUUUCCACAGUCGAAGGAGGAACAAAGGGCGACUCGUAUUCUUACUGAAACGACGAAGCGGGUUGGCAUGCGGUUCGAAAGUGGUCUGCUGUGGAAGUUCGACGACUUCGAGUUUCCGGAUAGUUAUGCGAUGGCUAUGCGUCGCUUGCAGUGCUUGGAACGGCGUAUUCGAAGCGAUACGGUGAUCGGAGAUAGCGUGAAGAGGCAACUGGCGGAAUACCGGAUAAAGGGAUACUUGCACGAAGCGACGAAGGAGGAGCUCGAAGAAGCGGAUCCACGCAAAACGUGGUACUUACCGCUAGGUGUUACCAUACACCCCAAGAAGCCGUCUAAAAUACGGAUCUUUUGUGAUGCUGCGGCGAUGGUGGAUGGCGUUUCCUUGAACACCAUGCUUAUUAAGGGACCUGAUUUAUUAAACAGCCUGCUUGGAGUUCUUUUUGGAUUCCGAGAAAAACGGAUUGCGAUCUGUGCGGACCUUAUGGAAAUGUUCCAUCAAAUUCAGAUACGUAAAGAAGACCGACAUGCUCAGCGAAUUCUCUGGCGAGAUGAUCCGAAUCAGGAACCGAAAGUCUAUCUCAUGGACGUGGCGACAUUCGGCGCCACUUGUUCGCCAUGUACAGCACAGUACAUCAAAAAUGUAAAUGCGACCGAACACGAACAAGAUUUCCCCGCUGCAGCCGAUGCCAUUAUCAGGAAACAUUAUGUUGAUGAUUACCUUGAUAGUGCGGACAGUGUGGAGGAAGCUGUGAGAUUGGCUCAGGAUGUAAGCUACGUUCACUCACGCGGUGGUUUUCAUCUUCGAAAGUGGCUUUCUAACUCCAAAGACGUCCUAAAACGGGUCGGGGAAAGAAAUCCUGGUUCAGAAAAAUGCCUUCUGCUGGAUAAGGCUAGCUCAACCGAGCGCGUGCUUGGGAUGUACUGGCGUCCUGAGCAAGACGUCUUCACAUACACCUACUCAGUGGGACAAGAGGAAGCACAUCCUACGAAACGACAGAUUUUGCGGGCCGUUAUGAGCCUUUUCGACCCACUCGGACUACUCUCUCAUUUCCUCGUUUUCGGAAAAAUCAUAAUCCAGCAGAUUUGGCGCGCGAAAACAGGGUGGGAUGAUCCGAUACCGAAAGAGCUUUGUGAACGGUGGACUCAAUGGACAGCAGAAUUCAAGUAUUUAGACCAGAUUAGCAUCCCACGUUGCUACUUCCCGCAAAGAUCCGUGAAAGAUAUUUCGUCGUUGCAGCUGCAUAUCUUCGUAGAUGCUGGGGAAGAUGCGUAUGCUUGCGUAGCAUAUUUACGGGCAGAGUUCUCCGAGAAAAUUCAAUGUGCAAUCAUUGGAGGGAAAACCAAGGUUGCUCCCCUCAAAACGCUUUCUAUCCCGCGGCUGGAGCUCAUGGCGGCAGUCAUUGGAGUGAGAUUGCGAAAGACCAUUAUGAAUUUCCACUCACUCCCGAUCGACAGAUGUAUAUUCUGGAGCGACUCAAGGACAGUUCUGGCCUGGAUCAAUGCCAACCACUGCAGCUAUCGGCAAUUCGUUGCAUGUCGUAUUGGCGAAAUCUUAUCGAAGUCGAAGGUGGAAGAAUGGCGUUGGGUUCCAUCUAGAGAAAAUGUAGCAGACGAAGCAUCGAAGUGGGGCCGAGGACCCUGCCUAUCAACAAGUGGCCGCUGGUUUACUGGGCCAGAAUAUCUUCUAUUGCCGGAGGAACAAUGGCCAGCGGACGUUAAGCCAUUCUUAGAAACGACGACUGAGGAGAUGAAAUCGUGUUUAGUCCACCAGACAAUAAAUGGGGAGGUCGUCAUUGAUUGGUCACGGUUUUCCAAAUGGCAACGUCUUUGGAGGACAAUUGGGUACGUGCAACGAUACGUGGAGAAUUUUAUGCUGAAAGCGAAAGGAAGGGAGCUGCAAGUUGGGCCAUUAACGCAAGAAGAGCUUUACAAUGCGGAAAAAUGUCUGUGGCGGCAAAUUCAACGGGAAAGCUAUCCAGAGGAGAUGAAAACGCUUAAAGCAGCUCAGAGCAAGCACCCGGAUAAGCAGGCAAAGCUGCACGGUACGAGUAAACUCCGGAAGCUAUCGCCAUUUCUCGAUACUGACGGAGUAAUUCGUUUGGACACCAGAAUUGUAGCGGCCACAUGUGUAUCCUACGAUACCCGGUGUCCGAUAGUGCUGCCAAAAGAGCACCCAGCAACUCAACUUCUAAUUGAGUGGUACCAUCGCAAAUACCUACAUGCAAACGCCGAAACCGUCGUCAAUGAGGUGCGACAGCGAUUUCAUAUCUCUAAUCUCCGCACCAUUGUACGACAGAUCAAGAAGAUUUGUUCACUCUGCAGAAUCAGGAAAGCUGUUCCUGAAAUACCACGAAUGGCACCACUUCCAGCGGCCCGGCUGAGUGCGUACGAGCGUCCUUUCUCGUACGUCGGCCUCGAUUAUUUCGGCCCAACUCUCAUACGUGUGAACCGAAGCGAGACAAAAAGGUGGAUAGCACUAUUUACGUGCCUCACCAUCCGAGCAGUGCACCUCGAAGUUGUCCAUUCUCUUUCCACAGAGUCAUGUAAAAUGGCCCUGAGGCGUUUUAUAAACCGUCGUGGAGCACCGAUUGAAAUCCAUAGCGAUAGAGGCACCAAUUUCGUGGGGACCAACAACGAGCUGCGCAGAGAGAUGUCGAAGAUUGAUGACCAAUUGGCAGAAGUUUUCAGUAACGCUCAUACCAAGUGGGUAUUCAAUCCGCCCGGAACUCCACACAUGGGCGGAUCGUGGGAGAGACUAGUGAGAUCAGUGAAAAUAGCACUGGCUGCCAUGUACACUACUAGAACUCCGAACGAAGAAACACUCAUUACGCUGGUAGUUGAGGCCGAAUGCGUGGUGAAUUCACGACCAUUGACAUUCAUUCCGUUGGAGGUAGAACAGCAGGAAGCUCUAACUCCCAAUCACUUUUUGCUCCUGAGCUCUAGCGGCGUGGUUCAACGACCACAAGCAUUGGCGGAGUCUGAAUCUGCCUGUAGAAGUAAUUGGAAUCUGGGACGGGUGAUGUUGGACCAAUUUUGGCGUAGAUGGGUCCGGGAAUACCUUCCCACUCUUACGCGCCGAUCCAAGUGGUUCGAUGACGUGAAGCCCAUUUGCAUUGGUGAUCUGGUGAUCGUGGUCGAAGAUGGCAUCCGGAAUGGUUGGACACGAGGACGGGUACUGGAGGUCAUCGCUGGCCAAGACGGCCGAAUUCGACAAGCCAUGGUGCAGACAGCCUCGGGUCUAGUACGGCGACCAGUAGCUAAGCUGGCGCGAUUGGAUUUAAAGCAGAGUAAAACUGGUCUUGAGGUCUCUGACCAGUCUUACGGGUCGGGGAAAUGUAACCGAGAUUUACACUAACUACGGUUCGAGAAUUGUAAGCCCCUUGGUCGUAGCGGAACGCGAUUACGAUGCGUUUUAUCUGUCAACGCAUGACGGAGCGCAAUAUGAGAAAACAAAGAAAGUCUCAUUCUAUAGCACGAGGUAGUGAACUGAGUACGCAAAAAUAUUAAAAUUAUACAUUGGCUAAAAUAUUAGUGUACAUUUAUCACGAUUUUCCAAGUGAGUCAUUAUAUCGCAAGUUAAAUUAUUGAAUUUAAAUUGAAACAUAUCUAUAUAAUGAAUUACAGAAUAUUUAUAUUUAUAUUAAUUCAUAUUGAUUUGUGGAUAUAACCUAAAAGGGAGGAUAGUAUUAAUCUUUUAGCACUAUUAUCACCAAGAACGC